rnacentral:rRNA from 1 species
GAGUUUGAUCAUGGCUCAGAAUGAACGCUGGCGGCACGCUUAACACAUGCAAGUCGAACGAGAUCUUCGGAUCUAGUGGCAGACGGGUGAGUAACGCGUGGGAACCUGCCCAGUAGUAGAGAAUAACUUGAGGAAACUUAAGCUAAUACUUUAUACACCCUCCGGGGAAAAGCUUUAUGCGCUAUUGGAUGGGCCCGCGUUCGAUUAGUUUGUUGGUGAGGUAAUGGCUCACCAAGACUACGAUCUAUAGCUGGUCUGAGAGGAUGAUCAGCCACACUGGGACUGAGACACGGCCCAGACUCCUACGGGAGGCAGCAGUGGGGAAUAUUGGACAAUGGGGGCAACCCUGAUCCAGCGAUGCCGCGUGAGUGAUGAAGGCCUUCGGGUUGUAAAACUCUUUCGUCAGGGAAGAUAAUGACGGUACCUGAAGAAGAAGAUCCGGCUAACUUCGUGCCAGCAGCCGCGGUAAUACGAAGGGACCUAGCGUAGUUCGGAAUUACUGGGCUUAAAGAGUUCGUAGGUGGUUGAAAAAGUUGGUGGUGAAAUCCCAGAGCUUAACUCUGGAACUGCCAUCAAAACUUUUCAGCUAGAGUUUGAUAGAGGAAAGCAGAAUUUCUAGUGUAGAGGUGAAAUUCGUAGAUAUUAGAAAGAAUACCAAUUGCGAAGGCAGCUUUCUGGGUCGUUACUGACACUGAGGAACGAAAGCAUGGGUAGCGAAAAGGAUUAGAUACCCUCGUAGUCCAUGCCGUAAACGAUGUGUGUUAGACGUUGGAAAUUUAUUUUCAGUGUCGCAGCGAAAGCGAUAACACACCGCCUGGGGAGUACGACCGCAAGGUUAAAACUCAAAUGAAUUGACGGGGACCCGCACAAGUAGUGGAGCAUGUGGUUUAAUUCGAAGAUACGCGCAGAACCUUACCAACACUUGACAUGUUCGUCGCGACUUUAAGAGAUUAAAGUUUUCGGUUCGGCCGGACGAAACACAGGUGCUGCAUGGCUGUCGUCAGCUCGUGUCGUGAGAUGUUGGGUUAAGUCCCGCAACGAGCGCAACCCUCACUUUUAGUUGCCAUCAUUUAGUUGGGCACUCUGAAAGAACUGCCAGUGAUAAGCUGGAGGAAGGUGGGGAUGACGUCAAGUCCUCAUGGCCCUUACGUGUUGGGCUACACACGUGCUACAAUGGUAUUUACAAUAGGAAGCAAGGUGGCGACAUCAAGCAAAUCCUAAAAAGAUGCCUCAGUUCGGAUUGUACUCUGCAACUCGAGUACAUGAAGCUGGAAUUACUAGUAAUCGCGGAUCAGCGCGCCGCGGUGAAUACGUUCCCGGGUCUUGUACACACCGCCCGUCACACCAUGGGAGUUGGUUCUACCUUAAGGCAAGGUUUUAAACCCUUGACUACGGUAUAGUCAGCGACUGGGGUGAAGUCGUAACAAGGUAACC